AGUAAGUUAUUGCCAGGGUUUUUUUAUAUUUUAAACAUUGAUUUUAUUUUUUAUGUUUUUAGAUGUUCAUGUUUUUGAAUGUUUUAUUCAAAUAAUAUAAAAAAUAAAAUAUAUAUUGACAUGGAUUAAACAAAGAUAUAUAUUAUUCUAUGUUGCAUAAACAAAUUGGCAAAAUAGAGAUGGAAGAUAAAAAUAUGGUCAAAGUAAUAAGAGUC
rnacentral:misc_RNA from 1 species